ACUAUUUUGGCAGAUUAGUGCAAUAAAUUUAGAAUUUAUUUAUGGAAUUUAAAUUUCAAAUAGUA
rnacentral:tRNA from 1 species